AUUGAACGCUGGCGGUAUGCUUAACACAUGCAAGUCGAACGAUGAGAAAGAGCUUGCUCUUUCGAUUAGUGGCGGACGGGUGCGUAACGCGUAGGAAUCUACCUAUUAGUGGGGGACAACUUAGGGAAACUUAAGCUAAUACCGCAUACGCCCUACGGGGGAAAGCAGGGGAUCGCAAGACCGUUUGCUAAUAGAUGAGCGUGCGUAGGAUUAGCUAGUUGGUGGGGUAAAAGCUCACCAAGGCGACGAUCCUUAACUGGUUUGAGAGAAUGAUCAGUCACACUGGAACUGAGACACGGUCCAGACUCCUACGGGAGGCAGCAGUGGGGAAUAUUGGACAAUGGGCGAAAGCCUGAUCCAGCAAUACCGCGUGUGUGAAGAAGGCCUUAGGGUUGUAAAGCACUUUCAAUUGGAAGGAAAACCUCGAAGCUAAUACCUUCGAGUUUGACAUUACCUUUAGAAGAAGCACCGGCUAACUCCGUGCCAGCCGCCGCGGUAA
rnacentral:rRNA from 1 species